AUCAGGUAGGAAUACCCGCUGAACUUAAGCAUAUCAAUAAGCGGAGGAAAAGAAACAACAGGGAUUGCCCUCAGUAACGGCGAGUGAAGCGGCAACAGCUCAAAUUUGAAAUCUGGCCCCAGGCCCGAGUUGUAAUUUGCAGAGGAUGCUUUUGGCGCGGUGCCUUCCAAGUUCCCUGGAACGGGACGCCACAGAGGGUGAGAGCCCCGUCAGGUCGUGCAACCAAGCCUUUGUAAAGCUCCUUCGACGAGUCGAGUAGUUUGGGAAUGCUGCUCUAAAUGGGAGGUAUAUGUCUUCUAAAGCUAAAUACCGGCCAGAGACCGAUAGCGCACAAGUAGAGUGAUCGAAAGAUGAAAAGCACUUUGAAAAGAGAGUUAAAAAGCACGUGAAAUUGUUGAAAGGGAAGCGUUCAUGACCAGACUUGGGCCCGGUUGAUCAUCCAGCGUUCUCGCUGGUGCACUCUGCCGGCCCAGGCCAGCAUCAGUUCGCUCCGGGGGACAAAGGUUCAGGGAAUGUGGCUCCCCUCGGGGAGUGUUAUAGCCCUGUUCAAAUGCCCUGGGGUGGACUGAGGUCCGCGCAUUGCAAGGAUGCUGGCGUAAUGGUCAUCAACGACCCGUCUUGAAACACGGACCAAGGAGUCGUCUUCGUAUGCGAGUGUUUGGGCGUUAAACCCCGGCGCGUAAUGAAAGUGAACGCAGGUGAGAGCUUCGGCGCAUCAUCGACCGAUCCUGAUGUUCUCGGAUGGAUUUGAGUAAGAGCAUACGGGGCCGGACCCGAAAGAAGGUGAACUAUGCCUGUAUAGGGUGAAGCCAGAGGAAACUCUGGUGGAGGCUCGCAGCGGUUCUGACGUGCAAAUCGAUCGUCAAAUAUGGGCAU
rnacentral:rRNA from 1 species